rnacentral:rRNA from 1 species
GUGGCUGGUGAUGGCGUGCCUUUUGAAGAAUGAGCCUGCGAGUUAGUGGCAUGUCGCGAGGUUAACCCGUGUGGGGUAGCCGUAGCGAAAGCGAGUCCGAAUAGGGCGUAUCACCGUUUGGUGUGUAGUGGCGUGUUCUAGACCCGAAGCGGAGUGAUCUACCCAUGGCCAGGUUGAAGCGACGGUAAGACGUCGUGGAGGACCGAACCCACUUAGGUUGAAAACUGAGGGGAUGAGUUGUGGGUAGGGGUGAAAGGCCAAUCAAACUCCGUGAUAGCUGGUUCUCCCCGAAAUGCAUUUAGGUGCAGCGUCACGUGUUUCUCAUCGGAGGUAGAGCUACUGGAUGGUCUAGGGGGCUUACCGGCUUACCGAAAUCAGCCAAACUCCGAAUGCCGGUGAGUGAGAGCGUGGCAGUGAGACUGCGGGCGAUAAGGUUCGUAGUCGAGAGGGAAACAGCCCAGAUCGCCAGCUAAGGUCCCUAAGCGUGUACUAAGUGGAAAAGGAUGUGGGGUCGCGAAGACAACCAGGAGGUUGGCUUAGAAGCAGCCACCCUUGAAAGAGUGCGUAAUAGCUCACUGGUCAAGUGAUCCUGCGCCGACAAUGUAGCGGGGCUCAAGUACACCACCGAAGCUGCGGCACUCACACAACAGCCCGCAUCGUUCCUACGGGGAUGGUGCCAGGUGUGUGGGUGGGUAGGGGAGCGUCGUGCAGCCGUGGAAGCAUCGGGGUGACCUAGGUGUGGAGGCUGUGCGAGUGAGAAUGCAGGCAUGAGUAGCGAAAGACGAGUGAGAAACUCGUCCGCCGAAUGACCAAGGGUUCCUGGGCCAGGUUAAUCCGCCCAGGGUGAGUCGGGACCUAAGACGAGGCCGACAGGCGUAGCCGAUGGACAACGGGUUGAUAUUCCCGUACCCGUGUGAACGCGCCCCUGGUGAAUCAGUGAUACUAACCGCCCUGAAUCCCGGUGACGGAUCUCUUUCGAGAGUGAUGCGCUGGGUGGAUGCGUGGGACCUGAUCUGGUAGUAGCCAAGCGAUGGGGUGACGCAGGAAGGUAGCUGAGCCAGUCAGUGGUAAUACUGGUGUAAGCCUGUAGGGCGAGACAUAGGCAAAUCCGUGUCUCAUACAGCCUGAGAGGUGAUGCGUAGCCGAUUGAGGCGAAUUCAGUGAUCCUAUGCUGCCGAGAAAAGCCUCUAGCGAGCUUUCACACGGCCCGUACCCCAAACCGACACAGGUGGUCAGGUAGAGAAUACUGAGGCGAUCGAGAUAACUAUGGUUAAGGAACUCGGCAAAAUGCCCCCGUAACUUCGGGAGAAGGGGGACCUCGUCCGGUGAUCAUCCUUGCGGUGUGAGCUGGGUGGGGUCGCAGAGACCAGUGAGAAGCGACUGUUUACUAAAAACACAGGUCCGUGCGAAGUCGUAAGACGAUGUAUACGGACUGACGCCUGCCCGGUGCUGGAAGGUUAAGAGGACCGGUCAACUGCACUUGUGUGGUGAAGCUGAGAAUUUAAGCCCCAGUAAACGGCGGUGGUAACUAUAACCAUCCUAAGGUAGCGAAAUUCCUUGUCGGGUAAGUUCCGACCUGCACGAAUGGCGUAACGACUUCUCAGCUGUCUCAACCAUAGACUCGGCGAAAUUGCAUUACGAGUAAAGAUGCUCGUUACGCGCGGCAGGACGAAAAGACCCCGGGACCUUCACUAUAGCUUGGUAUUGGUGUUCGGUUCGGUUUGUGUAGGAUAGGUGGGAGACUGUGAAGCGGUGACGCCAGUUACUGUGGAGUCGUUGUUGAAAUACCACUCUGAUCGUAUUGGAUACCUCAACCUCGGACCAUGAUCUGGUUCAGGGACAGUGCCUGGUGGGUAGUUUAACUGGGGCGGUUGCCUCCCAAAAUGUAACGGAGGCGCCCAAAGGUUCCCUCAGCCUGGUUGGCAAUCAGGUGUCGAGUGCAAGUGCACAAGGGAGCUUGACUGUGAGACUGACAGGUCGAGCAGGGACGAAAGUCGGGACUAGUGAUCCGGCACCGGCAUGUGGAAGCGGUGUCGCUCAACGGAUAAAAGGUACCCCGGGGAUAACAGGCUGAUCUUCCCCAAGAGUCCAUAUCGACGGGAUGGUUUGGCACCUCGAUGUCGGCUCGUCGCAUCCUGGGGCUGGAGUAGGUCCCAAGGGUUGGGCUGUUCGCCCAUUAAAGCGGCACGCGAGCUGGGUUUAGAACGUCGUGAGACAGUUCGGUCUCUAUCCGCCGCGCGCGUCAGAAACUUGAGGAAGGCUGUCCCUAGUACGAGAGGACCGGGACGGACGAACCUCUGGUGUGCCAGUUGUUCCACCAGGAGCACCGCUGGUUAGCUACGUUCGGAAGGGAUAACCGCUGAAAGCAUCUAAGCGGGAAGCCUGUUCCAAGAUGAGGUUUCUCACCCCCUUUGU